AGGGCAGCAGCGAAAUCACGCUGGACACCGAUUCUGGUGUAGAGGACGACGACUUCAGCUUCGUUACGUCCCCUGCCAGAACCAACACAACAUCAAUUUUGGAACCAGUGGCCAGCGGUGACGGAGUGGUCUGUGGUGCUGUGAAACCAUCGGGAACGACGACAGGAAUGGCUAAAUACCGGGAGAAGCUACCGAUGCCACCAGAGAAACAAAUUUCAUCUCGUCUUAAUAGCCUUGGCCAGUGGAGACGGAAAGUGGUCCGGCUCGGUCGCGGAAAGUGGUUCAAUUCCGCUCUGUAUGAGCAAUAGUGAUGAGCUUAGCGAAAACCCCUUCAAUCGGAUCAAGAGCCAACAGAUCCGGCGUCCCUAAAACCAACGGAACCGAUCCUGCAGUGUGUCAUCAAAGCGGCCAUGAACGAGGAGAUUUAGAAAGCGUCCAGCUGGGUGGUUCCGAUGAACGCCGCACCGUCGUUCCUAGUAGGUUUCUUUCUUAACGCGAUAGACAGCUACGUCCCACCCUAACAGUGAAGUUCCGGAUGAGUACAACAAACAUUGGCGGGACAUGGUUGGCGUCGAAGGUCAAAACCGGCCGCAGGAGGAUGGCCAACAGUGACAUGUCCGGAGAAUUAUGCAAUAGAAUUUAGGAAAGAUCUUGGUAUGCCCAUCAACUUCCAAGAGCUGAUCCAGUUGCCCUGGACAAAAGAAAUUGGCCCAUCAUUCAGCACUUCUAAGCUGUAUCGGACCUCCUUGGAGUUGCAUCGUGUCAAGAACACGUGCGCGUGGAAGGCUUUAGUCUGCCAAAAGGGGCCGGCACUAGACAAAUAGCUCGUCGACGGAACUGACCUCGCAGUUCAACAACAAAGCGGACCAGAAGCUGAGCAUCGUUGACCGAGGAGAAAAUGGAAGCUGUCCUGCUGGUUGGUUACGGCGAAGUUACGCCCAGAUGAUUCCGGCCGCCACAGACUUAAUUCCGGCCCAACGUGAGUGAGGAUAGCCGGGCACGUAGGACACGUGCAAUACAUCGGUGCUAGAAGCGGAUAUAUCCAACCUGGGUGUACGCAAUCAUCUUUUUAAGAACUCAAGAGAUUCGCCGACGGAUUAAAACAGCUCGAUUAGGAUCCCGCGAUGGCCGU